rnacentral:rRNA from 1 species
GGGGAAUCUUGCGCAAUGGGCGAAAGCCUGACGCAGCGACGCCGCGUGAGUGAUGAAGGCCUUCGGGUUGUAAAGCUCUGUGGGGAGAGAAGAAUAAGUGUUGGCUAAUAUCCAGCAUGAUGACGGUAUCUCCUUAGCAAGCACCGGCUAACUCUGUGCCAGCAGCCGCGGUAAGACAGAGGGUGCAAACGUUGUUCGGAAUUACUGGGCGUAAAGCGUGUGUAGGCGGCUUUGCAAGUCGGAUGUGAAAGCCCCGGGCUCAACCCGGGAAGUGCACUCGAUACUGCAGAGCUUGAGUGUGGGAGAGGUUGGUGGAAUUCUCGGUGUAGAGGUGAAAUUCGUAGAUAUCGAGAGGAACACCGGCGGCGAAGGCGGCCUUCUGGACGGUGACUGACGCUGAGACGCGAAAGCGUGGGGAGCAAAC